GACGAACGCUGGCGGCGUGCUUAACACAUGCAAGUCGAACGGAAAGGCCCUGCUUGCAGGGUACUCGCGUGGCGAACGGGUGAGUAACACGUGGGUGAUCUGCCCUGCACUUCGUGAUAAGCCUGGGAAACUGGGUCUAAUACCGGAUAUGACCUUCCAUGUAGUGUGGGGGGUGGAAAGAUUUAUCGGUGUGGGAUGAGCCCGCGGCCUAUCAGCUUGUUGGUGGGGUAAUGGCCUACCAAGGCGUCGACGGGUAGCCGGCCUGAGAGGGUGGACGGCCACAUUGGGACUGAGAUACGGCCCAGACUCCUACGGGAGGCAGCAGUGGGGAAUAUUGCACAAUGGGCGGAAGCCUUAUGCAGCGACGCCGCGUGGGGGAUGACGGCCUUCGGGUUGUAAACCUCUUUCGACAGGGACGAAGCUUCGGUGACGGUAACUGUAGAAGAAGCACCGGCUAACUACGUG
rnacentral:rRNA from 1 species